UACGAAGGGGGCUAGCGUUGUCCGGAAUUAUUGGGCGUAAAGAGCUCGUAGGCGGUUUGUUGCGUCGGCUGUGAAAUCCCGAGGCUCAACCUCGGGUCUGCAGUCGAUACGAGCAAACUAGAGUGUUGCAGGGGAGACUGGAAUUCCUGGUGUAGCGGUGAAAUGCGCAGAUAUCAGGAGGAACACCGGUGGCGAAGGCGGGUCUCUGGGCAACAACUGACGCUGGAGGAGCGAAAGCGUGGGGAGCGAACAGG
rnacentral:rRNA from 1 species